rnacentral:rRNA from 1 species
CUACGGGCGGCUGCAGUGGGGAAUAUUGGACAAUGGGGGAAACCCUGAUCCAGCAAUGCCGCGUGUGUGAAGAAGGCCUGCGGGUUGUAAAGCACUUUCGGUUGGGAGGACUGCUUCUAGCACUAAUAUUGUUGGAAGUUGACGUUACCUUCAGAAGAAGCACCGGCUAACUCCGUGCCAGCAGCCGCGGUAAUACGGAGGGUGAAGCGUUAAUCGGAAUUACUGGGCGUAAAGCGCGCGUAGGCGGCUAGAUCAGUCGGGUGUGAAAGCCCCGGGCUUAACCUGGGAACUGCAUCCGAUACUGGCUAGCUUGAGUACAGGAGAGGAGAGUGGAAUUCCACAUGUAGCGGUGAAAUGCGUAGAUAUGUGGAGGAACACCAAUGGCGAAGGCAGCUCUCUGGCCUGAUACUGACGCUGAGGUGCGAAAGCGUGGGGAGCAAACAGGAUUAGAUACCCCGGUAGUC